rnacentral:rRNA from 1 species
AGCUUGCUUUUUUGAGACCGGCGCACGGGUGAGUAACGCGUAUGCAACCUNCCUUNAUACAGGGGAAUAGCCCGAAGAAAUUCGGAUUAAUGCUCCAUGGUUUAUCGAUAUGGCAUCGUAUUGAUAAUAAAGAUUUAUCGGUAUAAGAUGGGCAUGCGUAUCAUUAGCUAGUUGGUGUGGUAACGGCAUACCAAGGCAACGAUGAUUAGGGGUCCUGAGAGGGAGAUCCCCCACACUGGUACUGAGACACGGACCAGACUCCUACGGGAGGCAGCAGUGAGGAAUAUUGGUCAAUGGAGGCAACUCUGAACCAGCCAUGCCGCGUGCAGGAUGACGGUCCUAUGGAUUGUAAACUGCUUUUGUACAGGAAGAAACCUCCCUACGAGUAGGGACUUGACGGUACUGUAAGAAUAAGGAUCGGCUAACUCCGUGCCAGCAGCCGCGGUAAUACGGAGGAUCCGAGCGUUAUCCGGAAUUAUUGGGUUUAAAGGGUUCGUAGGCGGCUUUGUAAGUCAGUGGUGAAAUUUCCUAGCUUAACUAGGACACUGCCAUUGAUACUGCAGAGCUUGAAUAAUAUGGAAGUAACUAGAAUAUGUAGUGUAGCGGUGAAAUGCUUAGAUAUUACAUGGAAUACCAAUUGCGAAGGCAGGUUACUACGUAUUUAUUGACGCUGAUGAACGAAAGCGUGGGGAGCGAACAGGAUUAGAUACCCUGGUAGUCCACGCCGUAAACGAUGGAUACUAGCUGUUCGGUUUUCGGACUGAGUGGCUAAGCGAAAGUGAUAAGUAUCCCACCUGGGGAGUACGUUCGCAAGAAUGAAACUCAAAGGAAUUGACGGGGGCCCGCACAAGCGGUGGAGCAUGUGGUUUAAUUCGAUGAUACGCGAGGAACCUUACCAGGGCUUAAAUGUAGAUUGACAGAUUUGGAAACAGAUUUUUCUUCGGACAAUUUACAAGGUGCUGCAUGGUUGUCGUCAGCUCGUGCCGUGAGGUGUCAGGUUAAGUCCUAUAACGAGCGCAACCCCUAUUGUUAGUUACCAGCGCGUANNGGCGGGGACUCUAGCAAGACUGCCGGUGCAAACCGUGAGGAAGGUGGGGAUGACGUCAAAUCAUCACGGCCCUUACGUCCUGGGCUACACACGUGCUACAAUGGCAAGUACAGAAAGCAGCUACCUGGCAACAGGAUGCGAAUCUCCAAAGCUUGUCUCAGUUCGGAUUGGAGUCUGCAACUCGACUCUAUGAAGCUGGAAUCGCUAGUAAUCGGAUAUCAGCCAUGAUCCGGUGAAUACGUUCCCGGGCCUUGUACACACCGCCCGUCAAGCCAUGGNAGCUGGGGGUACCUGAAGUCGGUGA